rnacentral:rRNA from 1 species
AGUGAACGCUGGCGGUAGGCCUAACACAUGCCAGUCGAACGGCAGCACAGUAAGAGCUUGCUCUUACGGGUGGCGAGUGGCGGACGGGUGAGGAAUACAUCGGAAUCUACUUUUUCGUGGGGGAUAACGUAGGGAAACUUACGCUAAUACCGCAUACGACCUACGGGUGAAAGCAGGGGAUCUUCGGACCUUGCGCGAUUGAAUGAGCCGAUGUCGGAUUAGCUAGUUGGCGGGGUAAAGGCCCACCAAGGCGACAAUCCGUAGCUGGUCUGAGAGGAUGAUCAGCCACACUGGAACUGAGACACGGUCCAGACUCCUACGGGAGGCAGCAGUGGGGAAUAUUGGACAAUGGGCGCAAGCCUGAUCCAGCCAUACCGCGUGGGUGAAGAAGGCCUUCGGGUUGUAAAGCCCUUUUGUUGGGAAAGAAAAGCAGCAGGUUAAUACCCCGCUGUUCUGACGGUACCCAAAGAAUAAGCACCGGCUAACUUCGUG